ensembl:lncRNA
AAAGAAACUCCCAAGUGCAACCCAUGGACACUGAUUGGUUCAGAUCUUCUAUAAAUGACAUGACUGGGUCACAGGUGAUCACAGUCACCAAUCUUUUUUAAAGGUAUGUGUUUUUAAAUGCAUUAUUUCUUUAUAACUUUGAAAAUGUAUUUAGCUCUUUCUAUUUAAUUAAGCAACAACUUAAGUCUUAAUUUGUUAUAUUUUAUAAAACAACAUGAUGACCAUUAUAAAAAGAAAAAUGUGGUGUUAGUAAUCUUAGGGCGGUUUUACAUUUGGUCGUUUGGAGCAUUUGUUUUGGAACCUGGUGCAUUUUCUAUCUUGAGUAAUGCGUCAGCCUGACGGAAAAAUAACUCUGAGCCGGUUCGUUUGAGGUGAGAUAGCAGUCCUAUCCAAUGUAAAGCAGUAGGCUAUCAUAAUUCACAAUGGGAAAUCAGCAGUGUCUGAUUCUGUGAGUGAGCACUAAGUUAUCACAUAAAAACCAAAGCGCGUCUCUUUAUCUUAAAAUACCUGAAAUAUCCAAAAUAAGCGCAGUAAGAAUGCUGCCAAUGAAGCCUUGAUUUCUAAUUUAUACAAAUAUAUGUAACAUGAAAUGUACUGGUAAUUUUCUUGUGUGUAACAACCGCUAUAGAGCCCAUUAAUGUGUACUCUGACCACUGAGAGGACAAUUUUAGUCAGUUAGUUUUGUUGUUUUAUAUUUAUUUUAUAUUUCUAUAACAUACUUUUGUUGUUGGAGGUCUCAGCAGCAAUGCAGUAUUGUUUAAAUAUGUCUCUUGUGUCUUUUUUUCAGGUUGAUAACGAUGGGAAAUAUUUACACUAAACUAAUUUUUUUUUUUGAGACAUCAAAUAUGACUUAUAAAGAAAAUAAAUAUUAUGAAAAAGUGCUAAAAAUUCCAUACUUUUCUUCUAAUUUUAAAUCAAAGAAAAAUUUUGAUUAUAUUUUAGAAAAAUUAAAACCUACAUUCGAUGGUAUGCUAAUCAAAGAAGGGAAAAUUUAUUAUAAUAAUGUCAACAACAGAAAUGUAACUUAUACAUCACCUUGUUAUAUUUUAAUUUGGGAUUCUGAUCGUCGUAUUUUUAGCCGAGGUCUCGGGUUUUAUAUUGGAUCUGGAGUUAUAAUUACAGCCAAACAUGUUUUAAAGGCAUACAAAAAUAAAAACGUAUUUGUUCUUUUCCCAAAUAAAAUGUUUUAUUUAGCCUACAGUAUUAAUACUGAUAACAUCUAUUUUGACAAUGAUUAUGAUAUUGCUAGAGUUAAAUUGGAAAUCAGUUUUGAUAAACUACCAAAUAUAAAACCUGUAGAAAUAGACUUGAAUAGAAAUGAAAACAAAAAUCUUUAUUUUUACAAACUAAAAGCAGGGCGUUUUGUUAAAGUGAAAUGUAAAAAAACUAAAGAAUUAAAUCUUAAAGAAUUUACUCUUUCUAAAACGGGAAAUGAUGGAGAUAGCGGGACCCCUAUUUUUACAAGUUCUGGUAAAUGUGUUGCAAUGUAUAUUGGUGCAUUUACAAAAACAAACAGAAAAUGUAUACUUGGCAUAGGUUUACAAUUUGAUAGUUCUUUAAAGACAUCUCUUCAUUGAAUUUUCCUCUGUAGUUUAUAAUAUUCUAAUGCUUUAAAAAAAAAAAAAAAAAUCUCUUUUUCAUCACUGUUUCUCAACCCUGCUCCAAUUUCCCAAGCUCACUAAUGAGCUGGCUAAUUUUAUAGUGAGCGGGGAAGCAAAAAACAGGGUCACCAGGGGCAGGAUUGAGAAACACUGUAUCCCAUCAACAUAAAUUUGGAAGUGCAAAAAUGCUGUAACACAAUUGGCAUGGUUACAGUACCAUAAAGUGCUAAAUAUUUCCCAUUGUUUGGCUGUCUGGAGAGGAUCUUGUGCCUUGCCCAAAACAAAAUCUUGUGUCUUGUCGGUAUGGAGCUGGACUAUUGUUACAGAUGUUGCAGGAGCAGCUCUGAAAGUCAUCUGUUUCAAGAAGCACCUCCAGACUGCAUAUGUCACAUUUGGGUCAAGUUACAAUCAUGAUUCCUCUCCAUAAAAUGGUGGUGGCCCGGACUCACUUGAUCAAAAGAGACGCAACAAUAUGUUGAAACAGGGCAUAGUAAGCACAACACCCUUACGCCAUUGCUCGGUGUCAUGUUGAACCACCUUUGGAUGACACGCGUCACUUUUGGGUCAAAAGAUAUUCCUCAUGAUAUUGAAGAUAUUUCUAUUCCUCAUGAUAUUGAAGAUAUUUCUAUUCCUCAUGAUAUUGAAGAUAUUUCUAUUCCUCAUGAUAUUGAAAAUAUUCAUCAUGAUACUGAAGAUAUUCCUCAUGAAGUUAUUCCUCAUGAAGUUACUUUCUAAAUAAACAAAAUGAGAUUCUAAAUAAAUGUACAAAAAAAUUUUUUUCACUUUUUUCCCCCCAAACCUUAAGAAUCCUUUACAUCAAAUCUUAGCCCUAAGCAUCUAUCUUUCCCAAAAUCCAUAAUUAGAGCUGUCUCCUGUCCUCCAAAAUGUUCUUUGGUGCCUUCAGCCAUUGUAUGUUUAUUUACAAUUGAAAUUUAAUGAUUCUCUGUCAGAAUAAUUUUCAAAACACUUUCAAUGAUGAUCCACCAGAUGGAGACAAAGAUUGAUUUGUAAAACAGAAAGUUUUUGUCUAGACGGGACUAGUUUUGUAAACUACGUUUGAGUUUCGAUUCUUACCACAUGACGUCUGCGAUUUUCAUGUACCAAUUCGGACGGGACUAACAUCUCCGUGUUUAUUACAGAGGUGGGAGGGUCUGUUUUGUGCAUCUGGGCGUCACAGAGAUCACGCGCUCAGUAUGCGUGCAUUGCAUAUAACGUUAGUCAUUCGGAUCGAUUACCAUUAGUAUUAUUACACAAUAAAUGCUAAAAACUAAAUGGCUAGUAUAGCAAAACCAUGUUAAUGUGUGGUUUCUUUAGUUUAACUUCAUUAAUUACAUCUGUAAUUAAAACAUAAUGUAACUGAGUGCAUAAAUGAACGUGAGUAAUCUUACCUGAUGCUGAUAUUACAAUAGCCAGUAUUAACAGUUUACGUGAUCUGGCUCUUGAUUUUAUUAUUUUUAUUAUUUUUAUUAUUAUUAUUAUUUCUUUGCCGGUAAGCAAAUAUAGAAAACAUGCUCGUGGUAAGAGCAUCUAUGGUAAUUCACGUUGGCCAAAACAGACAAGGAAACGCGUUGUGAAAUAAAAUAUCGCCGGCAAUCACAGACAUUCGCAUUCGGACGGGAUUAGUUUUCUCAGAGGAUCACUGAAUUUUGCUAAAAAAAAAACAGUAGGUAAUUUGCUCUGGAAUUAUUACAGAGGUUGUGUGAGAAAAACACAGACGUGGCAGAUUCGGACGGGAUUAAAAUCACUAAGUACGUCUGUGAAACACAGAUUUCUCUAACGACCCCCUGUAAAACUAGUCCUGUCCGAAUAGGGCUAUGUCUACCUUUUGCCUGACCUCAUCAUUAUGAUAAUAUUGUAAAAA